AGUGAACGCUGGCGGUAGGCCUAACACAUGCAAGUCGAACGGCAGCACAGUAAGAGCUUGCUCUUACGGGUGGCGAGUGGCGGACGGGUGAGGAAUACAUCGGAAUCUACUUUUUCGUGGGGGAUAACGUAGGGAAACUUACGCUAAUACCGCAUACGACCUACGGGUGAAAGCAGGGGAUCUUCGGACCUUGCGCGAUUGAAUGAGCCGAUGUCGGAUUAGCUAGUUGGCGGGGUAAAGGCCCACCAAGGCGACGAUCCGUAGCUGGUCUGAGAGGAUGAUCAGCCACACUGGAACUGAGACACGGUCCAGACUCCUACGGGAGGCAGCAGUGGGGAAUAUUGGACGAUGGGCGAAAGCCUGAUCCAGCCAUACCGCGUGGGUGAAGAAGGCCUUCGGGUUGUAAAGCCCUUUUGUUGGGAAAGAAAAGCAGCAGGUUAAUACCCCGCUGUUCUGACGGUACCCAAAGAAUAAGCACCGGCUAACUUCGUG
rnacentral:rRNA from 1 species